GUCAGAAAUAGGACUAAGGUGUGAAUUGAGUUUUGGAUAGGGUUAGAAAUGAAUGGAAGUCAAUGGAAAGUUCCCGCAAAGAUAGCUGAGCAAACAUCUGUGUGUGUGAGGAGUGAGGAGGUGUUUGUGUGUGUGUGUGUGUGUGAGGGGCGGGGGGGUGCGGGCAUGCUUGUGUGCGUGUGUGCAUGCGUGUGUGUGUGAGAUGACGAUGGGGAAUGUUUGAAAAGACAGACUAAUAAAACCUUUAGCACAUUUAUUUUCGAAAUGAAUUUAAAUCUUUGCCGGAGCUGACUAAUUUCUCUCGUUUCUAUUUAUGUGUUGCAUUGUUUAAACAAAACUCCUCUCUAUUAACAAUUCAUCCACUGCCAGCUUAGAGACAGCAUUAAGAAUACAAGCAAAUAAAAUGCCUCUGUUAACUCUGACUCCUGGCUGCAAAUAUAUUAUGUUUAGAUUUAUUUCUACACUGCAAAAACUCAAAAUCUUACCAAGUAUUUUUGGUCUUGUUUCAAGUUCAAAUAUCUUAUAAUAAUUCUUGAAAUAAGACCAAACUUAUUUCAACUCACAAGUAAGUUUUUAUAAAGAUAUAUAGGAGCUUGGUUUAAGUCAAUAAUUCAUUAAUAUUG